GGAGAGUGCAGCUCAAAUGGUAGAGUGCAUGCUUAGCAUGCAUGAGGCCCUGGGUUCAUCUCCAGUCACUCCU
rnacentral:tRNA from 1 species